rnacentral:antisense_RNA from 1 species
ACCGUUUCCUCAACCUGGAUUCUUGUGGCCCACAACUCUGUGCCUUGAGAAUCCUCUUCUAGCCUCAAGGGACGGUAAGGACAAAAGAAAAUUUAAAAAGGGGGCUCAGCUGUUCUUUUAUGCAAAGGUGAAAAAAGCUUCAUUGCCUAAAGAAGGGACAGAUGGGAUCUUGCUUCCUACAGGAAAAUUAAUUUUAAAAAAGAAAAAAAAAAGGGGGGGGACAGUGUAAUGCUUCUCACAAGGCUCCAGAAACGAAGCCCAGUAAUUCCUUAAGUAAAAGAGGAAUGUGAAGACUUCUUAAGGGGCCGGGCGCGGUGGUUCACGCCUGUAAUCCCAGCACUUUGGAAGGCCGAGGAUGAAUCACCUGAGGACAGAAGUUCAAGACCAGCCUGGUCAACAUGGUGAAACCCCGUCUCUACUAAAUAUACAAAAAUUAGCCGGGCGUGGUGGCGGGGGCCUGUAAUCCCAGCUACUCGGGAGGCUGAGGCAGGAGAAUCGCUUGAACCCGGGAGCCGGAAAUUGCAGUGAGCCGAGAUCGCGCCAUUGCGCUCCAGCCUGGGCAACAACAGCGAAACUUCGUCUCAAAAAAAAAAUUAUUCGUAAUUGGUAACAUUAACAAGGAAUUAUGACUGGGGGGGUCAGGAAACCUGGAUUCUGGUCCAAGUUCUACCUUUAUAGUUGCCAAAUAUAUAUAUUUGUUUAUUUAUACACA